UUUGUCAAGAGACGAGGGGUUGGGAGGAGCAUCCUAGGACCUUAUCUAGGAGGGUUUGUGGGACCUGGUGACUCACGGGAUGUGGGUCUGUAAGGAGUUCUGAGCAGCUGAUGCUACCAGGUGGGAAGAUAGUGGGGAGGUGACACCAAACUGAAAUGAAGUGACAGGGGGAGGGCCAGCUUCUGCCCAGGCCUGCCCUGUCACUUCAGGAUGUACAAUUUAGUUAAUU
rnacentral:lncRNA from 1 species